rnacentral:rRNA from 1 species
UACGAACUGUGCGAACGUUAUUCGGAAUCACUGGGCUUAAAGGGUGCGUAGGCGGCAUUCCCAGUCAGGUGUGAAAGCCUCCAGCUCAACUGGAGAACUGCGCUUGAUACUAGAAUGCUUGAGUGAGGUAGGGGUGUGUGGAACCUCUGGUGGAGCGGUGAAAUGUGUAGAUAUCAGAGGGAACGCCUGUGGCGAAAGCGACACACUGGGCCUUGUCUGACGCUGAGGCACGAAAGCUAGGGUAGUGAACGGG